rnacentral:rRNA from 1 species
UAGUCAUAUGCUUGUCUAAAAGAUUAAGCCAUGCAUGUCUAAGUAUAAACUGUUUAUACAAGUGAAACUGCGAAUGGCUCAUUAAAUCAGUUAUAAUUUAUUUGAUAGUACCCUUUUACUACUUGGAUAACCGUGGUAAUUCUAGAGCUAAUACAUGCCUUGAAAAGUCCUGACCUUUAUGGAAGGGAUGCAGUUAUUAGAUACAAAACCAACCCGGGCAACCGGUCCUUUGGUGAUUCAUGAUAACUUUGCGAAUCGCAUAGCUUUCAUGCUGGCG